CAGUAGCCACGGGAAUACGAAGGGGGCUAGCGUUGUUCGGAUUUACUGGGCGUAAAGCGCACGUAGGCGGAUCGAUCAGUCAGGGGUGAAAUCCCAGAGCUCAACUCUGGAACUGCCUUUGAUACUGUCGAUCUGGAGUAUGGAAGAGGUGAGUGGAAUUCCGAGUGUAGAGGUGAAAUUCGUAGAUAUUCGGAGGAACACCAGUGGCGAAGGCGGCUCACUGGUCCAUUACUGACGCUGAGGUGCGAAAGCGUGGGGAGCAAACAGGAUUAGAUACCCCAGUAGUCCCUGUCUCUUAUAA
rnacentral:rRNA from 1 species